UCAGGAGAAGGAACUCGGCAAAUUGAUACCGUAACUUCGGGAGAAGGUAUGCCUCGGUAGCUUGUAGGAGCACAUCCGAAGGGCGACGAGGCCGCAGAGAAUCGGUGGCUGCGACUGUUUAUUAAAAACACAGCACUCUGCAAACACGAAAGUGGACGUAUAGGGUGUGACGCCUGCCCGGUGCCGGAAGGUUAAGUGAUGGGGUGCAAGCUCUUGAUCGAAGCCCCGGUAAACGGCGGCCGUAACUAUAACGGUCCUAAGGUAGCGAAAUUCCUUGUCGGGUAAGUUCCGACCUGCACGAAUGGCGUAACGAUGGCCACACUGUCUCCUCCUGAGACUCAGCGAAGUUGAAAUGUUUGUGAAGAUGCAAUCUCCCCGCGGCUAGACGGAAAGACCCCAUGAACCUUUACUGUAGCUUUGCAUUGGACUUUGACGGGACUUGUGUAGGAUAGGUGGGAGGCUUUGAAACCGGGACGCCAGUUCCGGUGGAGCCAACCUUGAAAUACCACCCUGGUGUCGUCGAGGUUCUAACCCAGGCCUGUGAAUCCAGGUCGGGGACCGUGCAUGGUGGGCAGUUUGACUGGGGCGGUCUCCUCCCAAAAGGUAACGGAGGAGUACGAAGGUCACCUAGGUACGGUCGGACAUCGUACUGAUAGUGCAAUGGCAAAAGGUGGCUUGACUGCGAGACCCACAAGUCGAGCAGGUGCGAAAGCAGGUCAUAGUGAUCCGGUGGUUCUGUAUGGAAGGGCCAUCGCUCAACGGAUAAAAGGUACUCUGGGGAUAACAGGCUGAUUCCGCCCAAGAGUUCACAUCGACGGCGGAGUUUGGCACCUCGAUGUCGGCUCAUCACAUCCUGGGGCUGUAGCCGGUCCCAAGGGUAUGGCUGUUCGCCAUUUAAAGUGGUACGUGAGCUGGGUUUAAAACGUCGUGAGACAGUUUGGUCCCUAUCUGCCGUGGGCGCUGGAAGUUUGAGAGGGCCUGCUCCUAGUACGAGAGGACCGGAGUGGACGCACCCCUGGUGUACCGGUUGUGACGCCAGUCGCAUCGCCGGGUAGCUAUGUGCGGAAGAGAUAACCGCUGAAAGCAUCUAAGCGGGAAACUCGCCUCAAGAUGAGACUUCCCCGGGGCCUCGAGCCCCCUGAAGGGUCGUUGAAGACCACAACGUUGAUAGGCCGGGUGUGUAAGCGUGGCAACACGUUCAGCUAACCGGUACUAAUUGCCCGUGUGGCUUGAUCCU
rnacentral:rRNA from 1 species